CCUGUGCCCCCCACCUUAAAAUAAUCUGGAUCCGCCCCUGCGUUUAUGUGAUGAUUCUGGUAUCCAUGGAAAGUCUCUUAAACCUGAGCUGUCUGGCUGAAAGAGCAUCCUGAGGUGUAAGAAGAUGAGAAGCAGAGGCGGGAAUCAAAUGACCAACUUCUCUGCUUUCACCUGGACUCAGAGCUGGAGCUGUGAAAGAAAGCUUUGUCCCCCAAACCCUUCAUCGCCUCUGGAGAGCAUGCUGCGUCAUCAGGAUGGAAACCUCAUGGCAAUGUUUCAAAGGGAAUCCUUUGUUGGUUAUCACUGAUAAUUUAUGGUAAUGACUCAUCACAUGACAAAGUGGAAAAUAAUGUAGGUUGUUAGGAGUGAAAUGUCACCCAAAUCAGCAGCCUACAACCCCCAAUGUUCAAGUCUGAGUCAGAUUUUUUUUUAAAAAGGAGAAUCCCAGUCGAGUUCAAGUCCAGUCCCCAUCAAUUGUGCCCCUGUUUUCUCCUUA